rnacentral:lncRNA from 1 species
CUGUGUGCCAAUGUAUCUGCCAUCCAAGCUCAUGUCUGCAGUUAUAAAUAAGAUGUACUCCAGGCUGGGCAGAGGUGCCCUGCAUACAAAAGCCAUGGUGACCCCACUGCUAGAGCCAGGACCCUAGGAGGACAAAACAAGACAGGGAGUGGCAGCCAUAAAACCUUUGACCUACAAUCUGUCCUGCCUGAAAAGUGUGCUGGGGCAGUGGUGACACAGAACUUGUGGGAGUGACCAGCCAAUGUCUGAUUUGACAUCGGGCCCACUCCAUAAGAAGGAACCCAUACCAAGACUGCUUGGGAAGCCAAGAACCAGAGACUACACGUAUCUCAGAGACUGAGGGUAAAACAGACACGACUGUUUUUUUUUUAAGUAUCAAUAAAAUUGUUCUUAAUUAUAUUCUGCUAUACUCAUAGAUUAGCGCCU